GUCUACGGCCAUACCACCCUGAACGCGCCCGAUCUCGUCUGAUCUCGGAAGCUAAGCAGGGUCGGGCCUGGUUAGUACUUGGAUGGGAGAAUGGCCCUGCCACCAUUCUCC
rnacentral:rRNA from 1 species